rnacentral:rRNA from 1 species
AGUGAACGCUGGCGGUAGGCCUAACACAUGCAAGUCGAACGGCAGCACAGUAAGAGCUUGCUCUUACGGGUGGCGAGUGGCGGACGGGUGAGGAAUACAUCGGAAUCUACUUUUUCGUGGGGGAUAACGUAGGGAAACUUACGCUAAUACCGCAUACGACCUACGGGUGAAAGCAGGGGAUCUUCGGACCUUGCGCGAUUGAAUGAGCCGAUGUCGGAUUAGCUAGUUGGCGGGGUAAAGGCCCACCAAGGCGACGAUUCGUAGCCUGCCUGAGAGGAUGAUCCGCCACACUGGAACUGAGACACGGUCCAGACUCCUACGGGAGGCAGCAGUGGGGAAUAUUGGACAAUGGGCGCAAGCCUGAUCCAGCCAUACCGCGUGGGUGAAGAAGGCCUUCGGGUUGUAAAGCCCUUUUGUUGGGAAAGAAAGGCAGCAGGUUAAUACCCCGCUGUUCUGACGGUACCCAAAGAAUAAGCACCGGCUAACUUCGUG